rnacentral:lncRNA from 1 species
GCUUCCAGGGGGGCCAGGGAAACCCAGUUUGGGAACUGGCCGGGGCGAGUGAGAAAGAAAGAGAGCCGGGGCGUGCUGAACACGUUUCACAUCACCUCAGAGCUGUGGAAUUUCCUCUCUUCUGGGGGGAGGCCUGUGAAGAUGCAGUUGGUUUAAGGUUUAUGACAUUUGGGAAUAGGAACUACUAUUUGAACUGGCCCUUCCGGAUUUCUUAGUGGCUUCCUAAGAACAGGGGUCCAAGGACUGUGUCAGGCUUUGAGAAGGUGUUAAUACAUCAGGCCUUCCCUACAGAUCACAGUUUGAUUGGUGGACAGGACAG